GACGAACGCUGGCGGCGUGCUUAACACAUGCAAGUCGAACGAAGUGGCGAACGGGUGAGUAACGCGUAAUCAACCUGCCCUUCAGAGGGGGACAACAGUUGGCAACGACUGCUAAUACCGCAUAAGGAAGGAGGGGAUUGCGUCUGAUUAGCUAGUUGGGGGGGUAACGGCCCACCAAGGCGAUGAUCAGUAGCCGGUCUGGGGGGAUGAACCGCCCAAAUGGGACUGGGGAACGGCCCCAGCUCCUACGGGAGGGCGCAAGUGGGGAACUUCCGCAAUGGGCGAAAGUCUGACGGAACAACGCCGGGGGAGUGAUGAAGGGCUUCGGGUUGUAAAGCUCUGUUAAGCGGGACGCGGUACCGGAAUAGAAAGCCCCGGCUAACUACGUGCCAGCAGCCGCGGUAAUAC
rnacentral:rRNA from 1 species